rnacentral:rRNA from 1 species
GGUGUAAAGGGAGAGAAGGCGGUGUUUUAAGUUCUUCCUUAAAGACUACGAGCCCAACUCGUAGUAAGGGAAGAAUACUGAAACACUAGAGAUUGCAAGGGGCCAACAGAACGGUCGGCGUAGGGGUGAAAUCCGAAGAUAUCGACCGGAAUGCCAAAGGCGAAGGCAGUUGGCUAGUGCAAUUCUGACGCUGAUCUCUCGAAAGCUAGGGGCGCGAACCGGAUUAGAGACCCGGGUAGUCCUAGCUGUAAACGAUGGGUGCUAACUUUGGGGAGUUUCGACCCUCUCCGAGGUAAAGCUAACGCGUUAAGCACCCCACCUGGGGAGUACGGCCGCAAGGCUGAAACUCAAAGGAAUAGGCGGAAGCCCGAACAAGCAGUGGUCCAUGUUGCUUAAUUCGAGAGUGAACGAAAAAUCUUACCCAGGCUUGACAUCCAACCGUCAAACUCGUCUGAAAGGACGGGUGAGCCUACUUUGUAGGCAGGUUGGACAGGUGCUGCAUGGCCGUCGUCAGCUCGUGGUGUGAGUUGUAACCUUAAGUGGCACAACGAGCGCAACCCCUAUCCCGUGUUACAGGUGUCACGGGAAACUGCCGAGUAUAACUCGGAGGAAGGUGGGGAUGACGUCAGGUCUGCAUGGCCCUUAUGCCUGGGGCGGCAAACAUGGAACAAUGGUAGGGACAAAGGGAAGCAACGGCGUGAGCCGGAGCAAAUCCCCAAAACCCACCUCAGUUCGGAUUGAAGGCUGAAACUCGCCUUCAUGAAGGUGGAAUUGCUAGUAAUCGC